GGCCCGGUUGCUAAGUGGUUAGAGCCCUGGCCCUCGGUCCAGAGUCUCAGGUUCCAUUCCCAGUCAAAGGCACAUACCUCAGAUGCAGGUUCAAUCCCUGCCCCGGUCA
rnacentral:tRNA from 1 species